rnacentral:rRNA from 1 species
AAAAACAUGGCCUUUUGAUCAUAAUUUAAGGUCUAGCCUGCCCAAUGAGUGUUUCUUUAAUGGCCGCAGUAUCUUGACUGUGCAAAGGUAGCAUAAUCAAUAGUUUUUUAAUUGAAAGCUGGAAUGAAAGGUCUUAUGAGAAAAUAGCUGUCUCUAUUAAAAUUUAUUAGAACUUUAUUUUUAAGUCAAAAAGCUUAGAUUUAAAUAGAAGACGAGAAGACCCUAUAGAGUUUUAUAAUUUAUUGUAUGCAUUACUUUAGUAUUUAAUAUUUUGUAUAUUUUAAAUUAUUUGGUUGGGGUGAUUGGAAAAUUAAGUAAACUUUUUCUUAUUAAAGCAUUAAUUUAUGGUUAUAUGAUCCUUAUUUAAAGAUUAAAAGAUAAAAUUACCUUAGGGAUAACAGCGUAAUUUUUUUUGAGAGUUCUUAUCGAAAAAAAAGAUUGCGACCUCGAUGUUGGAUUAAAAUUUAUAUUUGGUGUAGAAGCUACAAUAUUAGGUCUGUUCGACCUUUAAAAUUUUACUUGAUCUGAGUU